rnacentral:lncRNA from 1 species
CCAGUGCACAGUCCACACCCACGGGGUGGGUUUUUCCAGGCACCUCUGGCGCCCCAGUGAUGCCUCGUGGUUUGGUUUGCCUCCUCUUAGGAAGGGACUAAACAACAGAUUCCUGGUGAGGCCAGCGUGAGAGGUCAGUGAAGGUCAUCGUACGGGUUGGCAGCAUUGGCACCGCACCCGCUGAGCUCGUGCUGCCCUUUGCCGGGUGCCGUCUGUGGGGCUCUCCUUUCCUCUUCCACGGCCACUCCUCAAAUGCCUCUUCAAAUGCUGUCCCUGCCCAGUGGCGUUCUCUGCACCCACAAGGGACCUGCUGAUUCCAUCAGGCAGCCUCCUUUUGCAGGCACAAGCCAAAGGUCAAAAUUCCAGUUCAGUGAAAGAAGGUCCUCCUGCCUUCGAGCUCAUGGUGCCAGCCUCUCACAGGGGCCUUCGGUGUGCUCAGAUGGAAAUGAAGGAAGCCAGAAGUGAAGCGACCAGCUCAGGUGAUACAGCUAGAAAGUGCUUUAGAGCUGGGGCCAUGGGCAGAUGAGCUGACCACAGGUCACACUCCUGACACCAAACCUGGCUCUGCGAAGAUGAUGUCGAAGAACUCCUCCUCGGCCUUGCUGACCAGCGCCUCCAGGUCUACGGCCAGCUCCUCAUCGGUCUGCUCCUCAUCCCUG